CUCUCUCUCUCUCUCUCUCUCUCUCUCUCUCUCUCUCUCUCUUUCUUUCUUUCUUAAGCUUAUCUAUAUGAAGUUUCACGCACACAAGCUGUCAUCGCCGCAGGCACUCCCAAUUUGACCCUUGUGUCGAACCGGACCUGCGCUCGUGAGCGCUAAUUCAUUCCACAUUCAACCAUCGGGUCCUACGGUGCGUGUCACGGAUUAGUUUUGUUUGACUGUGUUUUUGUUCCUGUGUUGUGGCAACACGAUUUCAUUCAUCCCACACUCGGCCGAUCGCAGCACGAUGCAGAAAGCAUACUGGACAAUUUUUGUGUCGCCCAAAAGUCGCUGUGAUUUUUGCGAGCGACCUUUGCGUGCUGUAUGUAACAAGUGUAAGUACUCUGGUCGCGUUGGAACGUGCCCGAUCGUAGUGCGAAAGAGAAAUGUAAGUGCCGGUGUAACGCUACUAGCUGUGAUGUGUCCAGAUAUGCCAACAACUAACUGCCCUACUACUACCCUCCCAUACAGGUUUUGGUUCACUCACACUGCUGGGAGCGGAUGUUGGGACGCUAGCAAAUCUCUACCUUAGCAGCAGCAAUAGCUUCACUUGGGCCAUACAUCCAUCCCUUGAAACUAGUUUCAAUGUCAUAAAAUUGUCCUCUUUAUGUACUCGCUGCUGCAAGCGUCAUUGAUGCUAAAAAUAAAACCAGAAAAAUAAAUUGUACACCCAUGCUUUCGCAUGGCCACUACAA